AUUCCUACGGGGGGCAGCAGUGGGGGAUAUUGCACAAUGGGCGAAAGCCUGAUGCAGCGACGCCGCGUGAGGGAAGACGGUCUUCGGAUUGUAAACCUCUGUCUUUGGGGAAGAAGAUGACGGUACCCAAAGAGGAAGCUCCGGCUAACUACGUUCCAGCAGCCGCGGUAAUACGUAGGGAGCGAGCGUUGUCCGGAAUUACUGGGUGUAAAGGGAGCGUAGGCGGGGAUGCAAGUUGGAUGUUUUAACUAUCGGCUCAACCGGUAAUUGCAACCCACACUGCACCUCUUGAGUGAAGCAGAGGG
rnacentral:rRNA from 1 species